rnacentral:lncRNA from 1 species
CAAUCAGGGCGCGGGGGCCCGGAACACCGUCCAAUCAGGCGCGGGGGCGGGCGCGCUUGCGGCCGCGUGGACGUGGCUCCGGGCAGGUCCCGGGGGUUCCUGCGCACCUGCCCGCGCGGACCCAGGUGUCCUCCUCUCACCUGCCCGGCCCUCGGGCCCGCGGGGAAGACGUCUUCCCCGGAGAGCUCGGAGCCGAGCCCCGACAUGGAGUGGAGAUUCACUGGAAGAAGCACUACAGAUAACUAAGAACAGUGCAGCUGACUCAGGGACCAGUUGCUCCCUGUGCCCGUCACGGGGAUUUUCCCAUUCCGCUGCUACCCUGUUGAACAGGUAAAUUCUGGCAGCAGAACUGCCAACUGAGAGUAUUUUCUCCUGC